rnacentral:tRNA from 4 species
UCUUCAUUAGUAUAACGGUUAGUAUAACCGCUUCUCAGUAAUUGGAUUUAUUCGGUACUGUUCGCGGUAGACCAGGGUUCAACUCCCUGAUGGAGAA